GGUAACAUUUUUUACCGUUUGAAUAAUUUUUUUAAUUAAAAAAAUCAGAUAAUGACUCUCUAUAAGUACUCCUUAUCAUCGGUCAAAAAUCUGCAUCCUCUUACUUGAUUUAUUUCUUACAAAUGUCGACUACAAUCUUUUUUUUCUUUCUUUUCCUUAGUUCUGUUCUUCCACUGGAGUUGAGUUCUCACUCAAUAUCUAUAUUUCUCAUUAGCCCAGAGAAGCAAACAUAAGCCCUCAUACAAGGUAAAAUACUCUGGUCUAAUUGCUCUAGUUUGUUUACUAUUAAGUGGUUUUUGUUGGUUUGAUUACCUGUUCUUUAUCUUUUAAACAUCUUUUAUGGGAUUGAACAUAAAAAUUCAAAACUCUGCUUUAAAUCCAUGUUAUAUAUAUUUAUGUAUUUACGUAAACUAGCUCAUAAAACUGAUUUUUAGCUUUUUUCCUCUUUUUUUUGUAAAUCCAUUUUAGCUUUACAUCUUUUUUUUUAAAAAAAAAACUGAUUUUUAGCUAUAUAUUUGUGUUUGAUGACCUGUUUUUUUUAGCUAGAAAUAUAUGUUCUGGUCUAAGAAAAUAUAGAGAGUUAAGUUUUUUUUUUUUUUAUGAGAAACUAAGAAAGAAUGGUUUAAAAUUAGAUGAUUUUUGAUUUUUGUUUUUUUUAUAUUUGUGUAAAUACAUAUGCAUGUACCAAAAUUGACAAACAGAAAAACCGAUCGUAAUGAACACUGAUUUUGUUUACCAUUAAGUGGUUUUUGUUAGUUUGAGUACCUGUUCUUUAUCUUUUAAACAUCUUUUAUGGGAUUGAACAUAAAAAAUCAAAUGCUCUGUUUUAAAUUGCUCAUAAAAAUCAGUCUUUACUGAACAUAAAAAUCAGUCUUUACUUAAACUAGCUCAUAAAACUGAUUUUUAGCUUGUUUUCCUCUUUUUUUUUGAAAAUCCAUUUUAGCUUUUCAUCUUUUUUUUUUAGAACUGAUUUUUAGCUAUAUAUUUGUGUUUGAUGACCUGUAUUUUUUAGCUAGAAAUAUAUGUUCUGUCUAAGAAAAUAUAGAGUUAUGAAAAACUAAGAAAGAAUGGGUUUAAAAUUAGAUGAUUUUUGAUUUUUUUUUUUUAAUAUAUUUGUGUAUAUCAAAAUUGACAAACAGAAAAACCGAUCGUAAUGAAAAAAGCCUGAUUUUGAUUUAUUAAUUUUGCAGAGGGUUGAAGGGAAAAAAACCUUAAGACCGUGCCCACUGCCCAGCGUUUUCCAUCUUCUGCUUUGCCCAGCCUUUGAAGUUGACCAGACUAUAAUGUAGCAAUAUUUGUAUCUCAUUUUUUCUGAUAAAGAUACAUGAAUGUAUGUAGAGUGUGAGAUGAGAAUGGAUGAUGUAUAGAUAUGUAUAGGGGGUGAACUUAGUAUGUAUGUAUACGGUAUGAAUCAUGAAUGUAUAGAUGUAUGUAUAGGGUAUGAAUGUAUAGAUGUAUGCAUAGAGUGUGAAUGUUAUAUGGAUGUAUAGGGUGUGAAUGUAUAGAUGUAUGUAUAGGGUAUGAAAGUAUAGGAUGUGAAUGUAUAGAUGUAUGUAUAGGCUGCACAGAUAUGCGUGUGGAUGAGCGAAGUUGUAGUAGAACGAGGUACAAAAAUUACUAGCACCGAUCCUAAUCGCCAAAAACAACACAAAAGAAAAGAAAAACAAACACUAAAUGGCAAAGACAAGGAACAAGACAAGGAACACCAAAUAUUCAAAGGCACGUCGAAAUACUGGUCGAAACACCAAAUAAUAUAAAUUGGCAAGGAGAAUGUAAUGAAAUUAACAAGACAAGUGCCGAAAACGGAAAACCGAAGGAUUGCUAGUCGAAAAUAGGCAGAAAACAAAACAAAGGGACAUACAAAAUAGUAAAAUACGCUAAAAACGGCACACUCAAAACUCAAAAGGAACACGCAAAAAAAUUGCCAAAAGUGUUGAAAAAGCAAAAAGAAAAAAACAAGCAGAGUAUGCCAAACGGUAAAAACGCAUAAGCUUCCAAAUUUAAAAAAAAAAACAAAAAAAAACAAGCUGAUGGACUCAAAUAGCAAACGGAAGAUCUCCAAACAUGCAACUGGAAUGCGAAGAGAAUGGAUAAGUUUGAUGGUCCAUCGCAUGAUUUAUUUACUGGUUUUUUAUCCAAUUUAUUUAGCUGUUUACUAUUUAUGUUAUCAUUUUUAUUUCCUGCCCUUUUGAUUUUGGAAAUGUUUUUAGAAAGCUUUUCGAAGAUAAAAACUGAAAAAUGGCCUGCUGAUUCAACCCUAACGACGACAAUAGCUAUCUAAAUAUUUUGCAGAAUUCUUCUAACUUGGUUCUAAAUAUUUUUUUUUUCUAUAUCUUAAAGACUUAAACUAGGAAAAAG
rnacentral:lncRNA from 1 species